AUGGAUCAGGAGCUGAUCAAGCACCUUGAGGCGAAAGUGAGUGCUGACAGCGCGAGAUUUCAGUCUCUCAUCGAUUUGUUCAUACCAACCAUCAACAGCGAGCACGGCAUAUGGUACACCCAACCUGAGAAACUUCCAGGUAUCACACUGAGUGGCCUAAGGAAGCAUUUCUUCCAGCGCAAUUCCAGGGCGUUCAAAAGGGGCACGUGGACAUGUCGCAAGAUACAGUCGGAGUGCGGCAUGCACGCGAUGUGGCACAAGACCGGCAAUACCUUGCCGGUGAUGGUCAACGGCCGACAGACGGGCAGCAAAAAAGGUUCUGGUGUUGCACACCAACAAGAACUUCGACCAGCCGAGGACCAACUGGGUGAUGCACCAGUACCACCUCGGGGACCUGGAGAAAGAGAAGGAGCGGGAGCUGGUCCUCUGCAAGAUUUUCUACCAGACGAACACUAG
rnacentral:rRNA from 1 species